UUUAUGGAGAGUUUGAUCCUGGCUCAGGAUGAACGCUGGCGGCGUGCCUAAUACAUGCAAGUCGAGCGAACGGACGAGAAGCUUGCUUCUCUGAUGUUAGCGGCGGACGGGUGAGUAACACGUGGAUAACCUACCUAUAAGACUGGGAUAACUUCGGGAAACCGGAGCUAAUACCGGAUAAUAUUUUGAACCGCAUGGUUCAAAAGUGAAAGACGGUCUUGCUGUCACUUAUAGAUGGAUCCGCGCUGCAUUAGCUAGUUGGUAAGGUAACGGCUUACCAAGGCAACGAUGCAUAGCCGACCUGAGAGGGUGAUCGGCCACACUGGAACUGAGACACGGUCCAGACUCCUACGGGAGGCAGCAGUAGGGAAUCUUCCGCAAUGGGCGAAAGCCUGACGGAGCAACGCCGCGUGAGUGAUGAAGGUCUUCGGAUCGUAAAACUCUGUUAUUAGGGAAGAACAUAUGUGUAAGUAACUGUGCACAUCUUGACGGUACCUAAUCAGAAAGCCACGGCUAACUACGUGCCAGCAGCCGCGGUAAUACGUAGGUGGCAAGCGUUAUCCGGAAUUAUUGGGCGUAAAGCGCGCGUAGGCGGUUUUUUAAGUCUGAUGUGAAAGCCCACGGCUCAACCGUGGAGGGUCAUUGGAAACUGGAAAACUUGAGUGCAGAAGAGGAAAGUGGAAUUCCAUGUGUAGCGGUGAAAUGCGCAGAGAUAUGGAGGAACACCAGUGGCGAAGGCGACUUUCUGGUCUGUAACUGACGCUGAUGUGCGAAAGCGUGGGGAUCAAACAGGAUUAGAUACCCUGGUAGUCCACGCCGUAAACGAUGAGUGCUAAGUGUUAGGGGGUUUCCGCCCCUUAGUGCUGCAGCUAACGCAUUAAGCACUCCGCCUGGGGAGUACGACCGCAAGGUUGAAACUCAAAGGAAUUGACGGGGACCCGCACAAGCGGUGGAGCAUGUGGUUUAAUUCGAAGCAACGCGAAGAACCUUACCAAAUCUUGACAUCCUUUGACAACUCUAGAGAUAGAGCUUUCCCCUUCGGGGACAAAGUGACAGGUGGUGCAUGGUUGUCGUCAGCUCGUGUCGUGAGAUGUUGGGUUAAGUCCCGCAACGAGCGCAACCCUUAAGCUUAGUUACCAUCAUUAAGUUGGGCACUCUAAGUUGACUGCCGGUGACAAACCGGAGGAAGGUGGGGAUGACGUCAAAUCAUCAUGCCCCUUAUGAUUUGGGCUACACACGUGCUACAAUGGACAAUACAAAGGGCAGCGAAACCGCGAGGUCAAGCAAAUCCCAUAAAGUUGUUCUCAGUUCGGAUUGUAGUCUGCAACUCGACUACAUGAAGCUGGAAUCGCUAGUAAUCGUAGAUCAGCAUGCUACGGUGAAUACGUUCCCGGGUCUUGUACACACCGCCCGUCACACCACGAGAGUUUGUAACACCCGAAGCCGGUGGAGUAACCUUUUAGGAGCUAGCCGUCGAAGGUGGGACAAAUGAUUGGGGUGAAGUCGUAACAAGGUAGCCGUAUCGGAAGGUGCGGCUGGAUCACCUCCUUUCU
rnacentral:rRNA from 1 species